GAGGAGGGGUGAGCUCCCGAUUGUAGAAGCCUAGACAGCACAGAGAGUGACCUGCUCCCAGGUUAGGAAGUAAGAUGUCAGAUGUUUGCAGAUCUCUGUCUCAGUCUCACUUAAUCACCAUUAUACACAAUGUGUAAGUAGCUCACGGUGUUUCUGCGGGAAGGGUGUGGAAAGCAGAGGCUGGUGUUGAAGGACAGUCUGGAGUGGUAUCAGUGGCCAGGAACCACGCCAGAGAGGAACCACAGCCUCUUGCUGUGGGGUGGGGCCGGGUGGUGCUGCUGGAAGCUCCCCCAGGUGACUCUGAGCAGCAGCGGAGGCUGAGCCACUGUUCUGGAGCCACCAGUCAGCUGUGUGGGGAAAUGGCCACCACAGCAAGUUUCUGUGAAGAAGUAGUAGUAUGAUUUCAUGGAGACAAACUAGGACGAUACUUGAGGAUUGUGUGGGGGACCCUGAGUAGGGAAAGCCCUUUCCACGUGGCUGGCUUUGACACAAACACACCAUUCCAGAUGUGGGGAGGGUCACUAUUUUGGUUUGAUGUAUGGAGCCCUUGGUCAGGAGCAGCUCUGGGUAGGGCACUGUGAUGAAAAUGCUAUUCACUAAUACUGUCAAGCAGUGAAUAGUGCCAGGAACUAUCCAAGCAGUUUCGCCCUCUGCCUUAAUCCCUACCACAGCCCUGAAAGUCUCAGUGACAAUCCCAUGAUUUUACAGAUGAGGAAACCAAGGCACCGAGCAGCUAAAUGGCUUCCUUGUGGUACUGCCUUGUGGUACUCGCCGUGGGGACCUAGCAGCUGGCUCCAGGGCUGUGCUCUUCAGCACUCCUCCCACAGUGUCCCGAGAGCUCAGGCAGGGGUUAGAGAGGUUGUGGCCGAGCUGUAGGGUAGGAGAGAGAAGCCAUGACAUCUCGGAGUACAGCAGAUGACACAGCACAGGGACUGCGUGCUGAGAACACAUGCCUGCACGGUGGCCGCUGCAGGAACUGAGGAGGUUAUGCUGAGGCCUCAUUUAAUUAAUUUUCCCCACAUCCCACCCGGAAGGGAGGAAUGAGUGUUCGCUGCUCGGAUGCCUUCGUUUCUCAUUACUUUUUUCAGUAAAAUAACAAGGACAGAUUUGAGUGCCCAGGUCAGUGGGAAAGGAUUAGCAACAGCCUCGCCGGCGUCCUGCUCCCUCCCUCAUCGUGCUGUGGUCCUUGCAGCUGGGCUCCUGCUGGUGCUGACCUCCAGCUGUGGGGCCACGGAGGAAUUGGGAUCCUUUCCGCAGGGCCUCUGAAGUGCCUCUGAAUGCGUGUUUGUUUUGCAGGAAAUGCUGCUUGGGCGAUGGCCACUUCCAAACCUGAUAUCUUGAUUAUACUUUUACAGAAAUUAAUGGAGGAAGGAAAUGUGAUGUACAAAGUAAGUGGUUCCGCCCUUUUCUUUGCCAUUGAAACUGCCUCGGAGCACCCUCUUAAUUGGGUAUAUAAUGGCUACAGCUGUGCUACUGCACAGACUCCAUGUAAUAGAAGUGCAAAAAGUGGCUGGGUGGGGUGGCUCACGCCUGUAACUCCAGCACUUUUGGAGGCCGAGGUGGGCAGAUCACUUGAGGCCAGGAAUUCCAGACCAACCUGGCCAAUAUGGCAAAACCCCAUCUUUACUAAAAAUACAAAAAUUAGCCAGGUGCCUGUAAUCCCAGCUACUCGGGAGGCUGAGGCAGGAGAAUUGCUUGAAUCUGGGAGGCAGAGGUUGCAGUGAGCUGAGAUUGCACCACUGCACUCCAGCCUCAGCAACAGAGUGAGACUCAGUCUCAAAAGAAAAAAAAAAAAGUGCCAAGAGGUGCUGACCUGGCCUCAUGCCCGUUGUUGGCUUAAUAUCUUUCCGGCAGAAUCUUAAAGGUAGAAAGCACCUCUCUUUGUGUCUGAGAGCCAUUAUUUCUGAGCUAAUCCUUGAGGUUGUAGUGGUGACUUCCGGUCUGAAGCCAUGGCGUGAAGCUGAGUCACCUCUAGGUCAACUGAACGUCAUAGAGAAGGUUCCUCAGCCCUUCACAUUCUGAGUUCAGAACACCAUGCUGAGGCACAGUCAUGAGACAUGGGAGAGGAACACCCAGCAGACAUUUCUAGAAGAAAAGGGUUAUUCUGUCUCCUAAGCCUUUCCUAUCUAAUUUUUAAUAUCUAUUAAUUUCUAGAAUUUGAAAGUGUUUUUAGAGAUUUUUACUUAAUACAGUCAAGUAAUACCUCAGUUACUCAGAAGACUGAAUUAAUUUUUUCCAUUUUCCCUUGGAAAUGGAAAUAUGAUUUUCAGAUCAAUAAACUUCACUUUAAAUUUUUCCAAAUAAGACAUCAGUUUAGGUCAGAGGUCAGCAAACUUUUUUUGUAAAGGGCCAGACAGUAAAUGUUUUAGGCUUUGCAGACUGUGUGGCCUCUGUCACAACUCCCCAGUUCUGAUGUGAGGGCACAGAUAGCACAGAGUGAAUGAACACAGCUGUGUCCCAAUAAAACUUUAUUUGUAAACAUAGGUGGCUGGCCAGACUUAGUAUCCAAGCUAUAGUUUGCCAACCCCUGGUUUAGAUAGAUAUGCAGGCCAUUUGCAUAGGUCACUAUUCUUUGCAGCUCUGCGAUUAGACAGAAUUAAAAGAUUAUAGGGGAAAAACUAGAUUAUGACCAUUUUAAUCCUUUUUACUGUUAGGCAGCUGUAUUUGAUAUGUUGUAGAUUUUUUUCCUUCUCAUUUUUUAAAAUAGUAACAAAUAAAUAGGCAAUAUAGCAUGACCCAGCAGGGUUCCUGGCUUGGAAUCAGCUUGAAAUUGAGUUGAGAGUGUGUAUUGUUGUGGCUUUGAAGUGCUUUUAAUAUGGAUUGGUAGGCAAUUAUGUCAGAAAUAGGAAGCCAUUUUCAACAGGCUUCAUACCUGCUGUGCAAUGGGACUGACUGAGCAAAUGGAUUUUUUUAGCUUUGAAAAUGAUGUGUGGUGCUGUUCUGAUUUUUAAAGCCCAUGUUUUAGUUCCUCUUAGAAGAAAAAUUAUUAUUCUGCAGCAAGCUCUCUAGGUUUAUCUACAAGAUGCUACUUGUCCUAGGAAUAGGAUCAGUUUUUCAUCUGAUUUCUAUUACACUUAGCAUUCAAAUAGAUUUGAGAUCAUUCUUGAAAUAAUUUUCAAAAAUACAUACCAGAAGGUAAUCUGAUUCAUUAAGUUUGGUAAUUAUCAAUCUAGCAGUUUACAGACACCUUAUUGUAAAACCAGCUUCUUUCUCACUGUGUAACCACAGGAUGCGGGUGCAUGUGAGGACAGUGAAGCCCUCAUGUGCCAGCCCAGUUAGUGAACUAGCUCCCACCUUGACACUUGUUUGGAUGCUUUCAAUGUUCUGUCAUGGGUUUGCAGGGGGGAGUAAACUCUCCACAGUGUUCCGGGUGUGGGAGUUAUUCAUUUUAGAACCUCUGAAAAAGGACAAAUGUUUGUGAUUUUUGAAUCCUAGAAAGGGAAAAUGAAAGAGGCAGCCCAGAGGUACCAGUAUGCCUUAAGAAAGUUUCCUCGAGAAGGAUUCGGAGAGGACAUGAGACCCUUCAAUGAAUUAAGGGUUUCCCUCUAUCUCAAUUUGUCGCGAUGCCGAAGAAAAACAAAUGUAAGCUGUGCCCCUUUAUUCCAACCCAGUCUUCCAGCAACAGAGCCCUUCUUCAGUGGUGAAGGCCAGCCCUUCUCCAGACCAGAUCCUGGGCCCUCCUGUCCAAUUUGCUUGCACAUUUACAUGAACCUGGCAUGUGGGAAACAGCUCCUAUCCGUGACUAUCGUUUGGUCACGGGUGCUACGCUCCUCGUAUGAUGUUGAAGGAAUGCACUUGGGUUUCAUUUCCUUGGCCUCAGUAAUGAGAAGCAAAUGCAGUCUGCUCCUCUGCAGCUUCCCAACACUGUUGCUGCCGGCACUGCCGUCCCCGGAUUCAGGAGAGUCCAACCCAAGCCUAUUGUGGUGGGCCUGCCUUCUGUGUUAGGUUUGCUCAGAGGGUCUGCCAGUAACUAAUUUGUAACUGGUCGUGGGGAACUCAUAGUCGAUUUGUAACUAAUAGAUCUGUUUCAGUAGUACUUCCUACCUUUUUUUAACUGUGUCCUCCUGCCCCAGUCUGUUGAGCUGCCUGCUUCUGUGCCCUGCUGCCGGAAUAGAUGCAGUGUCUGCGCUCCUCUCUGAGGCUGCCCCUCCACCGGGCUGUGAGGUUCCACCAUCUGGCCUUCUUGGGGCACUGUUACUACCACUGUUUUCAUAGUGGAUUCUUCUCCUAAUGAUAUUAAUCAACCAUCAUUAUCUCCUCACUUUAAAACAAGAUAGAAAACGGAACUUUCCCUUCCUCCUUCUCUGGCUGUGCCUCAGAGCGCUGCUACCCUUUAGAACAAAACUAGACGGGCUUCCCACAAUCGUGUGUCCAGGCUGCUUCUGACUCCUGUAUUUCUUGUCGACACCAGGACUUUGGCAUGGCAGAGGAAUUUGCUUCCAAGGCUCUCGAAUUGAAGCCCAAGUCCUAUGAAGCCUUUUAUGCCAGAGCAAGAGCGAAGAGAAAUAGCAGGCAAUUCGUGGCAGCUCUGGCUGACCUGCAAGAGGCUGUGAAACUCUGUCCCACCAAUCAGGAAAUCAAGAGGCUUCUGGCCCGCGUAGAAGAGGAGUGCAAACAACUCCAGAGGAGUCAACAGCAAAAACAGCAGGGCCCGCUACCAGCCCCACCCAACGACUCCGAGAACGAAGAGGACACCCCAACCCCUGGCUUAAGUGACCACUUUCAGUCUGAGGAGACUGAAGAGGAAGAAACUUCUCCCCAGGAAGAAUCUGUUUCCCCAACUCCCAGGUCCCAGCCAUCCUCAUCUGUCCCUUCCUCAUACAUCCGAAACCUUCAAGAAGGGUUACAGUCCAAAGGAAGGCCAGUAUCGCCACAGAGCAGGGCAGGAAUCGGCAAGUCCCUGAGAGAGCCUGUGGCCCAGCCAGGGCUGGUCCUGCAGCCCUCCAAGCAGGCCCAGAUCGUGAAAACCAGCCAGCACCUGGGCUCUGGCCAGUCGGCAGUGAGAAAUGGCAGUAUGAAAGUUCAGAUCUCUUCUCAGAACCCUCCUCCAAGUCCCAUGCCAGGGAGAAUCGCUGCCGCUCCUGCUGGGAGCAGAACCCAGCAUUUAGAGGGAACAGGUACUUUCACUACAAGAGCUGGUUGUGGCCACUUUGGGGAUCGGCUGGGCCCCAGCCAGAAUGUCCGCCUGCAGUGCGGUGAGAAUGGCCCUGCACACCCUUUACCAAGUAAGACGAAAACCACAGAGAGGCUUCUGUCUCAUUCCUCCGUGGCUGUGGACGCAGCCCCUCCAAACCAAGGUGGGCUGGCGACCUGCAGCGACCUGCGACACCCAGCUUCCCUCACCAGCUCAGGCUCUUCUGGUUCUCCAUCCAGCAGCAUAAAGAUGUCAAGUUCAACCAGUAGUUUGACUUCGAGCAGCAGUUUUUCAGAUGGCUUCAAGGUCCAAGGACCAGAUACUCGAAUUAAAGACAAGGUUGUAACCCACGUUCAGAGCGGUACAGCUGAGCACAGACCCCGCAACACGCCGUUCAUGGGCAUCAUGGAUAAGACUGCGAGGUUCCAACAGCAGAGCAAUCCUCCAAGCCGCACCUGGCACUGUCCGGCGCCAGAGGGGCUGCUGACAAACACGUCUUCUGCAGCUGGCCUGCAGUCUGCUAACACUGAGAAGCCCUCUCUCAUGCAAGUGGGAGGAUAUAAUCACCAAGCCAAAACCUGUUCUGUUUCUACCCUGAGUGCAAGUGUCCACAAUGGGGCACAAGUGAAGGAGCUAGAAGAAAGCAAGUGCCAAAUUCCAGUUCACUCUCAAGAGAACAGGAUAACUAAGACUGUUUCUCAUCUGUACCAGGAAAGUAUCUCCAAACAGCAGCCUCAUAUUAGUAAUGAAGCCCACAGGAGCCACCUCACUGCAGCCAAACCAAAGCGAUCAUUUAUAGAGUCAAAUGUGUGAACCUUAAGAAAGCCCCAUUUGUGGAAUUUGGAAACGUGUGUUGACUCCUGGUGGUAAAUUAAAUAGUUUUUUUCAUCAUAAAAAUUAUUUUUUAGCCAUUUUUUUUCUUUGGGGUGGAUCUGAUGCCAUUGAUAUAUCUAAAAUGUGGGAUAAAACUUCUUUAAUAGCUAGAAAUCACCAUAAAUAAGAAUGCUAAACAGAAUUGAAAAUUAUAUCAACUUAAAAUUUUAAGACAGCCCAGAAGACAUUAAUGACUCUCACUUAUGAAAUUGUUUGGCUUUUGCCACUUUCCUCCUUGCCUUUGCUAUAUGGUAGAAUCACAGAACUUACUUAGAGAAUAAAUAUGUCUAUUGUUCAAGAGUGACAGGUUUAACUCAUGACCAAGUGAUGUACAUCCAAGUGAUGUAUUCUGGAAACGAUGGAAUUUUACAGUUACAGUUCCAUUGAGUCAAAUCCCAUUUUAUAUAUACAUAAAAAUUAAGUUCUGAGUGAGUUCUAGCUAAAUAUAAGUGUGACUGUAAAUGCAGCCAUUUUUUUUAAGCAGAAUAUGAGAACACCUAAGUAUUCCCUUCAUAGCAGUUCCUAUAAAGGGAUUAAACACUUAUUUCUGUGUUCUGGUUCUUAUUCAUAUAUUUUUAUAGCACCUUUUUUUGGAACCUAUAUUUGUGCUUGAAGGUGUUUUUGAUAUUUGGAAACAGUAUAAGCCAUUUGGAGUCAUGAUUGGUGGUCAAGUGGAUUCAAGCUAAAAUACUAAGACCAGCAUUCUUAGUGGCGCUUAUAAAUUAGCUCUCACCUGGUUUCCAAACUGCUUUUAACAAUGGUAGUGCUCCUGGAACAAUCCUUCCAAGCUCCUCUAAGGACAAUAUUUAAUUCAGAUACUAAAGGUAAGACUGGUUGUUACUUUUGUUUUGUUGUACAAUUAGUACUUUAUAGUCACAUGUUGUAUAUAUUAAAUAGCCCAGUUUUAUUCAGACUUGUAAAUAGAACUAUUUCAAUGUAGUUAAUCUAAAAACAAAAAAGAAAACCCCAGUCAUGAUUUGCAUGUUCUCUGUAAGCUUCAUCGAUGCUGGUUAUUGCACUGAAUGAUAUAUUAUUAUGGCAUGUUAACAGUAUACCAGUAACAGCACUUUAUCUCAUUUAUAUGAACACCUUUGAGGUGCUACUUAAGUCCAAGCUCUGAUGUAUUAUUCAUUUGUAAAGAUAAGGUACAGGAAUGAACCUUGGUUUAAAGGUAUUUUUAUAUGAAAAUGGUGUGUUAUUGGAAGAUGUUAAAAUGCUAAUUUGAGAGAAGUAGGAGUGUAUCUGUUUUAUAUGUUGGGAUGUGAAAUUUAUUUUCUAAAAUUGAGGAGAAGGAAGUUAUAUAUUUGUAGAAUGUUUUAAAGUGAAUUGUUGUAAUGAAGUUCCUGUGAACAUCAUUAUGGUUUUGUACAAAUAGGAACCUCUGAUGUCAUUCUUCAACGUUUGUUCCUGUGUGUACAAUUGUACUUUGUAUGAACAGCUUUAUCAUUUUUAUAGGCUUUCCAUGAGUUUUGCUGUAACUACUAUGGCUUAUUUAUUUUCUUUAAUAUUUGUGAAAGUCUUACUCCUUUGUUAGUUUUGUUUCUGCACAACUACUGUACUUUUCCAUAUGGAAUAAAGACUAUUAAUAGAA
rnacentral:sRNA from 1 species